rfam:Gossypium raimondii Chr06_contig_820, whole genome shotgun sequence.
AACCCAUGGUGAGGGCACACCUUCUCAAUAAAUCCUUAUACCUCUCUCAUGCAUCAUAUAGGGUCUCUAAUUCCAUUUACACGAAGGAAGAGAUAUCAUUACUCAGCUU